rnacentral:rRNA from 1 species
GCCUUCGGGUUCGCAUUGUAAUUUGUAGAGGAUGAUUUGGGGAAGCCGCCUGUCUAAGUUCCUUGGAACAGGACGUCAUAGAGGGUGAGAAUCCCGUAUGUGACAGGAAAUGGCACCCUAUGUAAAUCUCCUUCGACGAGUCGAGUUGUUUGGGAAUGCAGCUCUAAAUGGGAGGUAAAUUUCUUCUAAAGCUAAAUAUUGGCGAGAGACCGAUAGCGCACAAGUAGAGUGAUCGAAAGAUGAAAAGCACUUUGGAAAGAGAGUUAAAAAGCACGUGAAAUUGUUGAAAGGGAAGCGCUUGCAAUCAGACUUGUUUAAACUGUUCGGCCGGUCUUCUGACCGGUUUACUCAGUUUGGACAGGCCAGCAUCAGUUUCGGCGGCCGGAUAAAGGCUCUGGGAAUGUGGCCUCCACUUCGGUGGAGGUGUUAUAGCCCAGGGUGUAAUACGGCCAGCCGGGACUGAGGUCCGCGCUUCGGCUAGGAUGCUGGCGU